rnacentral:piRNA from 1 species
UCCUUCAGACCAUCUCCCUGCUGCGGCAGAGC